GCCCGACUUACGCCUAGCAUCGCCAAUCAUCCUCCGCUCAGCUUGGCCUCCCCGCCGCCCGCCGGUCAAGAACACCGGGAUGCCUAUGCCUGUGCUGCCACACGGAAGUACAUGAGCGUGGGGCGGCGUCCUCCUCUGCUGCCCAACGGACGCCGACGACCUCAUCUGGGAGCAGAUAAACCUGUAAGUUUCCUUUAACUUGCAGAUAUUGCGCUGAUUUGCCGCAUGGUGUGCUAGAACUACACUCCAGGGGAAUAUUUGUUCGGAAUCUCCAGUCUUGUAAUUUUCUCCUUGAUGACAAUGACCAUGCCGUGCUGGGGAUUUGGGUUACAUCCUUGCUGUUUGGACUUUCGCUGCCAAAUCCAGAUCUUAUCCAAAGACUUGGGACUCCAAAUUACAUGCCCCAGAACAUUGGCGACCAAACAUCAGAGGCCCAAUUAGUUACGAGACAUACUCAUUGGGGUUUCGCCUGCAGCAUUCUUGAGAUGUUCAGUGGCAUUCAGCCUUGGCGUGCCAAAUCAUCAGAUGAGAUUUAUCAAUCGGCUGUCGUGAAGAAAGAGAAACAGAUAUUCCCGUACAAUUUACAUACGGAGGUCGAGAAUGUCCUCUCUGGCUGCUUUGAGUAUGACUUUCGGGAUCGCUCCUUGAUGUCAUAUAUUUUACAAUCAUUUGAAAGGUAGCAUGCUAAAACUCUCUUUCUGCUUCUGCCUUGUCUACUUACAUAAUUUGGUUAAACUGCCAUGGAUCGGUGAUUUUACCAUAUUUCAUUUUAAUAUUUGCUUAUAUUACAUUGUACAAACUGCUAAGCAUUAUUGAAGUUUGUCACAUGAAAGCAUGGAACUGCUUUCUUAGUUGUGUCGUUUAUGGUCAUAUAUGGUCAAUGCGCGUUUAUUUUCCUCAAGAGUUUACUUUUACUAUGUACUGCUAAUGUUUUCUCUGCAUGCAUGUUUCUCUAAAUUUGUUCUAUUUUUUUCAUUCUUUAGUGCUCAAGAUGUGGAUUGUAACAACACUGGCUGGGAUAGUUAUGAAAAUCCAAGGCCAACUCAACCAAGUCGCACUAAUUGGUCACACUUUAAGGAUAUGUUGUAAAUCGGUGACAUGGUCCGCUCGAGAAAGCUUAAAAGCUCUUGUACUCCUGAAACAAUGGAAAUCCCUUAUGUAACCAUGGUUGGCUUGGAGGAGGAAGAACGUGCUAGCUACAUUCUUGUACAACUCCAUGGGUUACAAGACCCUGUGAAGGUCCCCUCCUCGUCCUGGAGACUGGGUAAGGCUUAGGGAGGAAGACAAGAAGCGGUCCCAGGUUGGAAUUCUUCAUAGCAUCGACCGCAAUGGCACUAUGUGUGCUGGUUUGAUAGCAAUGGAUACCCUCAGGAAGGGGGGAUAUUCUUCAUAGUUAUCAUAAAACAUCUUCAAUUUCUGCACAUAUACAAGUCGCAGGUAGUCACAUAUCAUCUUCUAUUCCUAUUAUCCAUAAUAUGAAGCUAUAUAAUGUUGAUACGAAUUAGUACUAAUAUAUAAGUUUGGCAGUCCACAUAACCAAAAUAUGUUAAUCCCAAUUGUGCAGGUGCUGGCAAUUUUAUAUUUUGCUAUGCAAAUGUACAAUUGGCUUUCAUAGAAUAAAAUGAGAUUUGAGAGGUAAGCAUCUGAACAAAACAAUUGCACCGUAAGGCAGUUUAUACUUGCUACACUUAAAGAGAAGACUACACUACAUGCUAUAUUACUAAAUUGCUAAAUAAUUGCUGAUUUAAUUAAAUGAGAAUAUGUUUCCUGCUAUUACUCUAUGCAGCAACUUAACCACAGUGGUGUCUCACUUUUGAAAAUACAAUUUUGAGCGACAUCAAACAUCUUUAUCCAUUUGAUUUUUUUUGCAAUAUUUAGUUUUAUUCUAUAGUACGUGAAUCUCACCUGGUUUACAUUUGAGACGUGCGUACAACCAUCGAUGCUAAUAUCGGUUGAUUUCUGUGGCCAAUUAUGUGCAUGCAAUACUUUGAGAUCUAAAUGUCGCCGGAAAAGAUAAAAGUUGUACAUGUACGUCUACUCAGAUUUUUGGACUUUUGUGUGCAUCGGGAAUGCAUAAUUAAGCUAUGCAUUGCCUAUCAUCUCCUAAACUCUAUUACAGGAAGCAUGGUUUCAUUUUAGGGCGAUGCUAGGUGUCAACCGACUGAUUUCCUGGGGAAAUAAGUCGGGUCGCCAGCCGUUCGAUGCAUCCUCCUAGAGCCGGGUCAACGGAAGCAACGACCGUAUCGCCGUAGGGACGCAGGGCCGCAUGCUGGCAGUAGGAGCCGCGCCCCCCUCGCCGGCAGCGCAACGACGCUUUGCCGACGGCGCCGGCGAUGCUACACUGCAGCUCCUACCCCGCUGCAUCGCAGCUCAGGGGCUCCGGUGAAGCUCCAAUGCAGCCGCCGGUGAAGCUACAAUGCAGCACCGCCCGUUGUAGUGCAGUUCCGGGCUCGCCGGUGAAGCUCCAUUGCAGCGCCGACGAUGCUUCACUGCAGCACCGACGCCGGCGCGGCGGCGGUCCAUCGAUGCUCCAUAGCAGCACUCAACGCCGUCGGUGAUGUUUCACUGCAGCCCGCACCGACGCGGCGAGCUUCAUAGCAGCACCCGACGGCCCCGCCGGCGGAGCUUCACUGCAGCGCCCCACCGCUUGCUGGAGCUCCGCUGUAGCACCGACUACCCUCGCCGAAGCUCCAUGGCAGCACCCAAGGGCCUCCGGUGAAGCUUCACUACAGAGCCCCCUCCGGCUUGGCGGUGCUCCAUCGCAGCACGACGGCAAUGCGGUUGAUGCGACGAAGCACGCGGCGGCGACGGGCGGAUGCUAUGACGCAGCACGAUGCCGACGGGAAAUGGGGUGACGCAGCACGCGGUGGUGACGACGGAUGCGACGCCGAGGGCGGAUGCUUCGUCGUCCAUCCCCCCUCCCCCCCACCCCCAUGCCCCGCCCAGGUGGGAGCUUCUCCAUGGUUGAUGUGGAUUUAGCCGGCGUCGGCUCAUCCUUGCAGCAGCAGGUGGAGGAGAAAAAAGGAAGGAAGAAGAUGAGGAGGGGGACGAGUGAAGGAGGAGGAGCCGGAAGGGAUAAGGUGGGAGGAAAAAGCGAUGGACUGGGGGGGGCACGUGGCGUGCGUACGAGGCGGCUUACCGAGACAGAAAAAUCAUCCGGUUUAAACUAAACGUUUCCCUUCAUUUUAUCCCAUAUAUCAGUACAUAAGUAUGUUUAGCUUAUAUAUAAUUGGUGAUUUGUCCAUGGAAAUUGAUGACUUUUAUCUUCUGCAUCUGUUUUGAUCUUUUUAAGCACAUCCUUAAAUUGGUGAUUUUUUCUGUUAAUGUCGAACCAAUUUUAGCAAAUGAUUUUCUUUGUUACGAUAAUUCUGAGUGCAUUUUGUCAGUUUGAUAUUGGAGAACUAAAAACUAACUCUAGUGCUUUGAUGAAUUUUGUGUUUCCUCAAUAGUGUCUUGAAUCUAAAAUCAUAAAAGUAUUACAUGCACAUACUUAUAUGAAUCAAGCCUUACAUGAUUCGCUCUUUUACUGAUGGGCUGAGGAGGUCAGAGAUGUACAAUAGCCGUAUUGAUCCAAAUGACAAGUACGGCAGUGCUAACCUGCUUGCCUAGAAUUUUACCACAUCCUAAGACUUGCAAAUCUGUACAAUAGGAAUGGCUAGUUGUUUUCUGGUCUACAACCGUGACAUGUAGUGGCAUCUCUCACCAUGUCUGCACAUAGUGUUUAGGUAUGAUUGUUGCAUACUGUCGACAAGGGCGCGACGUUUUUUCUGAACUGAAUUUUUUUUUGCUUACUGGUUGAGCUCGGUUUCAACUCUUACUUGAGUAGUUGAUCGGCAAGCCUGAUGCAGGUGUAUGAAAAUUAUGCAGUUCCAUUAGCUCUGGAGUUGUCCAGUAUACUACUGAGGCCUACAUAUUUUGCUGAUGCAGGUUGGAGGUGAACAUGAACUCUGGCAAUCCAAAAUAGCAGAUAUAAAAUAACUGCAGCUCAGGCCAUGUAGUUCUACAACAAUCAAGGAAGAAGUCCGGUUUUUUAAGCCGACCUCGGCCAAACAAUUUAAGCUUACAUGGGUGCUCUCUAUUUUUCAGAGGUGCGUGUACGGAGAGCGCCCAUGAUUCAGGGCAAAAAAUCUAGACAAAGUGAAAAAACUUUUGUACGAGUGGUGAUAGCCUGUUUAAGGAUGUUGACUGUGGCUACACAACUUCAACAACGUGCUUGCAACUCAUGAGUGGCAAAGUAUAACAUGCCGCCUUUUUCUUUAAACAAGCCCCUUCAAAUUAUGUAUGCAAUAUGCUGGGAAGAACUCAUGACAAAGCCUUAUUUGUAUGCACGUCUUAAUGUAUUUUCAUACUGGCUCAAGUAAUGUACUCUUUGUUAGGAUUUAAUUAAUCCUAUUAAUCCCUGCUUUUCUAACCGAGGCGGUUGCCUCACAUCCCUUCGGUCGCACCCCUUCAGGGGCUAUAUAUAUGUGUAAUCCCAUCAUCAAUGAGAAGGAAAGUUUACUUUUACAUCUUGGUGUUUGUCUCUCGUUCCUCUCUCGAUCUCAAUUCUAAACACGUUAUCACGCACUUUGCUCUACCAAGAGCGAGAAGGCCAACCAACUCGCUCGCUGAGACCACCCUGGCUACAGCGUUGGCCGUGCCCGCGCCAUGCGGGCCUCGCGCCCAGCCGUCCGCGCCGCGCCGCUGGAGACGCCAUCCGGGGCGCUCAGCACGCCUCUGGACGCGGCCUUGACGCCGCCGCUCGCGCUGCAUACAACCGGAGCCGCAUGCGCGCCUACAUACGGGGCUCCGCCCCCACCCGCUCCUGCUCCGGCGGAAUGGCUUGUGCCGCUGUCGCCGACGCCUGCCCUCGCCGUCCCGUCCGCGCUCGGUCGUG
rnacentral:lncRNA from 1 species